rnacentral:rRNA from 1 species
CCCUUCGAUGUUCUGGGCCGCACGCGCGCUACACUGAUGCAUUCAACGAGUCUAAAACCUGGUCUGAUAGGGCUGGGUAAUCUUUUGAAAGUGCAUCGUGAUUGGGAUAGAUGAUUGCAAUUCUUCAUCUUCAACGAGGAAUGCCUAGUAAACGCAAGUCAUCAGCUUGCAUUGAUUACGUCCCUGCCCUUUGUACACACCGCCCGUCGCUCCUACCGAUUGAAUGAUCCGAUGAAUACCAUGGAUUGAGAGUACGAAUGGGUUCGCUCAUUUCUGCUGCUCGAGAAGUGGAGUAAAUCUUAUCAUUUAGAGGAAGGAGAAGUCGUAACA